rnacentral:rRNA from 1 species
CCUACGGGUGGCAGCAGUGGGGAAUAUUGGGCAAUGGGCGCAAGCCUGACCCAGCAACGCCGCGUGAAGGAAGAAGGCUUUCGGGUUGUAAACUUCUUUUCUGAGGGACGAAGAAAGUGCCGGUACCUCAGGAAUAAGCCACGGCUACCUACGUGCCAGCAGCCGCGGUAAGACGUAGGUGGCAAGCGUUCACCGGAUUUCUUGGGUGUACAGGGCGAGUGGGCGGGAAGGCAAGUCAGAUGUGAAAACUCAGGGCUUAACCCUGAGCCUGCAUUUGAAACUGUUUUUCUUGAGUGCUGGAGAGGCAAUCGGAAUUCCGUGUGUAGCGGUGAAAUGCGUAGAUAUACGGAGGAACACCAGUGGCGAAGGCGGAUUGCUGGACAGUAACUGACGCUGAGGCGCGAAAGCGUGGGGAGCAAACAGGAUUAGAUACCCCUGUAGUC